CGUUGGCACAUAAUGAUUGGUUGUGAUCAAAUGUAAUGCGUGUAGACGAGAGGGAGUAAAAAUACGAAAGGAACCAAUUCGUUUCCCAGACGGAUCAUCUCAACAUCUGCAGAGAUCUCACAUCAGCUGACACCAGUUUUCUCCAGAACAUCACCGACGCUGCCUGAACUGCUGCAGACUCUGAAGCAGCUGUAGGACCAGAGUAUCAGCCUUCACACCAAGUAAACCAGAGAAUCACAACGCCAAGAGAAACACAAGAUGUCUGCUCGUC